UACGUAGGGGGGCUAGCGUUGUCCGGAUUUAUUGGGCGUAAAGAGCGUGUAGGCGGCCAGGUAGGUCUGCUGUGAAAACUCGAGGCUCAACCUCGAGACGUCGGCGGAAACCAUCUGGCUAGAGUCCGGAAGAGGAGAGUGGAAUUCCUGGUGUAGCGGUGAAAUGCGCAGAUAUCAGGAAGAACACCCCGUGGCGAAGGCGGCUCUCUGGGACGGUACUGACGCUGAGACGCGAAAGCGUGGGGAGCGAACAGG
rnacentral:rRNA from 1 species